UGUCGGAUUACUGGGCGUAAGAGCUCGUAGGUGGUUUGUCGCGUUGUUCGUGAAAUCUCACGGCUUAACUGUGAGCGUGCGGGCGAUACGGGCAGACUUGAGUACUGCAGGGGAGACUGGAAUUCCUGGUGUAGCGGUGGAAUGCGCAGAUAUCAGGAGGAACACCGGUGGCGAAGGCGGGUCUCUGGGCAGUAACUGACGCUGAGGAGCGAAAGCGUGGGGAGCGAACAGGAUUAGAUACCCUGGUAGUCCACGCCGUAAACGGUGGGUACUAGGUGUGGGUUUCCUUCCUUGGGAUCCGUGCCGUAGCUAACGCAUUAAGUACCCCGCCUGGGGAGUACGGCCGCAAGGCUAAAACUCAAAGAAAUUGACGGGGGCCCGCACAAGCGGCGGAGCAUGUGGAUUAAUUCGAUGCAACGCGAAGAACCUUACCUGGGUUUGACAUGCACAGGACGCCGGCAGAGAUGUCGGUUCCCUUGUGGCCUGUGUGCAGGUGGUGCAUGGCUGUCGUCAGCUCGUGUCGUGAGAUGUUGGGUUAAGUCCCGCAACGAGCGCAACCCUUGUCUCAUGUUGCCAGCGGGUAAUGCCGGGGACUCGUGAGAGACUGCCGGGGUCAACUCGGAGGAAGGUGGGGAUGACGUCAAGUCAUCAUGCCCCUUAUGUCCAGGGCUUCACACAUGCUACAAUGGCCGGUACAAAGGGCUGCGAUGCCGCGAGGUUAAGCGAAUCCUUUUAAAGCCGGUCUCAGUUCGGAUCGGGGUCUGCAACUCGACCCCGUGAAGUCGGAGCCGCUAGUAAUCGCAGAUCAGCAACGCUGCGGUGAAUACAUUCUCUGGGCGUGGUUUGUACACACCGCCCGUCACGUCAUGAAAGUCGGUAACAACCCGAAGCCAGUGGCCUAACCCUUUGGGAGGGAGCUGUCGAAAGGUGGGAUCGGCGAUUGGGACAAUUCUAACAGGGUACCGUAUUCCCGG
rnacentral:rRNA from 1 species